rnacentral:rRNA from 1 species
AUUGAACGCUGGCGGCAUGCCUUACACAUGCAAGUCGAACGGCAGCGGACCUUCGGGUGCCGGCGAGUGGCGAACGGGUGAGUAAUAUAUCGGAACGUACCUUUCAGUGGGGGAUAACGUAGCGAAAGUUACGCUAAUACCGCAUAUUCUGUGAGCAGGAAAGCAGGGGAUCGCAAGACCUUGCGCUGAUUGAGCGGCCGAUAUCAGAUUAGCUAGUUGGUGAGGUAAGGCUCACCAAGGCGACGAUCUGUAGCGGGUCUGAGAGGAUGAUCCGCCACACUGGAACUGAGACACGGUCCAGACUCCUACGGGAGGCAGCAGUGGGAAUUUUGGACAAUGGGCGCAAGCCUGAUCCAGCCAUGCCGCGU